UUUCCAAGAGAGGUUAGUCUACGUCCCUGUCUUGCCCGGUCUCACCAAAUCCUAUUCUAUAACUCCUGCCCGCCUCCGACUCCUUUACGAAGACGUUUGGCUCAGAUCCUCCGACGGCGUUCGCCUUCACUGUUGGUUCAUUAAGUUCUUUCCUGAAUGCCGAGGUUUUCAUUUCUUUGUUCAAUUGUGAAUCUUUUGAUCGAAUUCGUUGUGAUUUGUUCUUUUUCACUGAGUUAGGGUUUGUUUUCGGACUACUUUUAGGACUGAAAGGUGAAAGCUCUGUUUUGGGGAAGUCGAAAUGGAAUUAGAUUUUUUUUUUUAAUUAUGUAGUGAUGUUCACUUUACCGUUUGGUGUGGAAUUUGGGUUCAUGGACCUUAAAUCUGCUAGAAUACAAUUAGCGAAAGCUGAAAUUAAAAAAAAAAAUUGUUUAAAUACCGAUUUUAUUUUCCUGCAAUCAAAUGCAGUCUUAGCUUAUUAUGAUUAUGUGCAAAUGGAAAAUGCAGCGCUAUCGGGCUUCUUUUUCGCUAAAAUUUCAUUCAAAGAUGAGAAAAUCAGAAUUAGGCUUGACGUAAUCCCUAGUGAAUUUGAUGUGUUGAAUGUUUGUGAUAAUUAUUUUGGCAUGACAGAUCUAUUGCACAACUCUUUAUGAUGCUUGUCUGAUUUAAUAUCAGUUGUGUAGAUGUUUGCACACAUAUUGAAUAUUUUUAUAUGCAUGAUCUAAGAUUUUUCCUUUCCAUAAAUUGAUGCUGAAAGGUUCUUUUUUAGUUAGUUUUUCUUCUGAAAAUUUUUGAUUUAUGAAGCCUCUU
rnacentral:misc_RNA from 1 species